rnacentral:rRNA from 1 species
AACGAACGCUGGCGGCAGGCCUAACACAUGCAAGUCGAGCGCUCUCUUCGGAGGGAGCGGCGGACGGGUUAGUAACGCGUGGGAAUGUACCCUUCUCUAAGGAAUAGCCAUUGGAAACGAUGAGUAAUACCUUAUACGCCCCCCGGGUCAAACUGGGGGGAAAGAGUUUAUCGGAGAGGGAUCAGCCCGCGUAAGAUUAGAUAGUUGGUGGGGUAAUGGCCUACCAAGUCUACGAUCUUUAGCUGGUUUUAGAGGAUGAUCAGCAACACUGGGACUGAGACACGGCCCAGACUCCUACGGGAGGCAGCAGUGGGGAAUCUUGGACAAUGGGCGCAAGCCUGAUCCAGCCAUGCCGCGUGAGUGAUGAAGGCCUUAGGGUCGUAAAGCUCUUUCGCCAGAAAUGAUAAUGACAGUAUCUGGUAAAGAAGUCCCGGCUAACUCCGUG